ACGGAAAUAUCGAAGGUGGCAACAGAAUUAACAUGCAGUCGGCGCAGCUUGUAAAUGCCGGCUACCCAGGUAAACGAGCAACUGGAAAAAAUACUCCCGGUUAGCGCAAACCAACAGGUAAGGCUUGGUUUUAGUUCUCCCGCCAUUUCGCCCAACAUAGGGAGAAUCCCCGAUGCGCACAACGAGGCCGACGGUGACGCGGCUUGGCCAGCCAAUCAGAACGCAGGAUACGGGGAUUCCCUAUCCUUCCGUGCGGAUGGAAUAGACGCGCACGUCAAACAACAGGUGAGGGAAAAAAUCUGGCGUGGCGAGUUUGUCGACCUCGGCACAAUCCUACCAAACACCGAGGGAAGUCACGAGGACGGUACGAUUACCAUGGCGUACGACUCCUCAGUAGGCACUCCGAGGUCCGCACAACCCAGGGGUUGCUGUCCUACAUGGAAACCAUAAGAACGGCGGCACUUCGAUUCGGGG